CUGUCUAAAAACAAGUGGACGGAGAAAGACAGUUUAGCCGGUGGGUCGGCCAUCGAACUCUUGACAUAUAACAUCGCAACAAUAUCAACCAACCAUAGCUUGCCACGUAGCAAAUCUUGGCGUGAAAAAUCUGUCGUCCGUAAGCUUUACACACGGGCUUUACAUAAAUCAAACCGCGUUUAAUCCAAAACCAUUCAUUUGUGUUUUUAUGGAUGUUUAUAAACUCGUAAUAUAUUUUUCUUAUUGAAUUAUCUAUUACUUCUUCUCUCAAAUGGGUUGUUUGAUUUCUCCUGUGAUGAAACUCCGUCGUCUCUCCUCAGCAAACUCGAGGCGGUUUGCAUACCGGAAUCUCACCGAGAAUAUGGAAGAUCCGGUCAUAAGGGUGGUGGUAGGGAAGGAGAAGAAAGAGUUCAUGGUCGAACCGUACGUACUCGAAGAAUACCCGUUUAGAGUCUUGAUAGGUUCGGUUAAGGAUCGUGCCAAGGACCGUUUAAACAGGACUGGUAGAGUGGUGUGGCUUGAUCAUGUCGACUCGAUCUUGUUUGAGCACUUGUUGUGGCUUCUUCGGAACGAUGCCUCUACGUUUUCGGAUUUGGAUGUUGUCGAGAUCAUUGAUUUCUAUUCUCAAGAUUGUUAGUUUUGGGUUUGUAGAUGGCUGAAGCUGGGUCAAUGAGAGUCCGCGUGUAAGAGCUGCUAGUCUUCUUUGAUUUGUCUCAGGUCGAUUCACAAGGUUUUCUUUGCUUCUAGUUUGGAUCGCCCUCCAUAGGGUUAUGGUUUGGUAUGGUGGUUGUGGUUUCUGUUUCUCUAUGAUGGUAUGAAUUCUGCUUUUGUUCCUGCCGGUUUGAUGAUGGUUUUACUACGGUAUGCUCUCUUAGUGCUUCUGGUCUUCUGGGUACUCUCCAGCGCUUACAGGAUUUUUGGGAAGCUUAGUGGAAUUCGUUCAGUUUCAAUUGGGCAAUUUUAGAUCUUUGAUCCUUCUAUCAUUCUCUUUGUAAACUUUUUCUAUAGGUCUUGGCUUUUGUCUUUGUUAUUCUAUUAAUCAUAGUUUCCGGAGGUGUGUUACAUGCCGGCUCAAGCUUU